rnacentral:rRNA from 1 species
UACGUAGGAGGCGAGCGUUGUCCGGAAUCACUGGGUGUAAAGCGCGUGUAGGCGGCCUGCCAAGUCUGCUGUGAAAGCGCCUGGCUUAACCGGGCGAGGUCGGUGGAAACUGGCGGGCUGGAGGUCGGUAGAGGGGGGUGGAAUUCCCGGUGUAGUGGUGAAAUGCGCAGAUAUCAGGAGGAACACCGGUGGCGAAGGCGGGUCUCUGGGCCGAUACUGACGCUGAGGAGCGAAAGCGUGGGGAGCGAACAGG